ensembl:lncRNA
AUUCCACUGCCUCAUAGCAUUGAGAAAACCCCUUCACGACAGGAAAUGGAGGUGAGCAGCUAUGGUGGAGUGAACAGACUACAGGACUUAGCAUCCAAAGGCCUGGCUCAGAGUCUAUAGAGCACUCUUUGAACGCAAACUUUCUCAGAUGGCCAUUGUUCAGCCUUAGAAGUUACCCACAAAUUCCACAUUAUCAGAUCUCCUCACUUGAGCUGCUGCAGGAAGAGCUCCACAGCAGGUCUACUGGCUCCUCGAAGCUACAGAAGGGAGCUGUGGUGCUGGCACCCUCGCUUUCUUGAGUUGUCUUAACAGAAUAAAGGGCAUGAACUUAACUAGUCUCUAAUAAACUGUGUGAUGGUAAAGUUUAUGAGUUAAGCUGACUGGGUUAAGGGAUGCCCAGCGAGCUGGUAAAACAUGACUUCUGGGUGUGUCUCUGAGGCUGUUUGCAGAAGAGAUUAGCAUUUGAGUCUGUAGACUGAGUAAAGAUUGCCCUCGCCAGUGCAGGUGGGCAUCACCAGAUCUAUUGAGGGCCCAAACAGAACAAAAAGGCUGAGGAACGGCGAGUUUGCUCUCUGCUUGAGCUGGGACACCGUCUUCUCCUGCCUUCCGGCAUCAGUGCUCCUCUGGCCUUCAGGUUUGGAUUGGAACUACACCACUGGCUUUCCUGGGCCUCCAGCUUGCAGACUUCUCAGCCUGCAUAAUCUCCUGAGCCAAUCUCUCAUAAUAAAUUUCCUUCUGUGUGUCUCUAUAUGUCCUAUUGGUUCUGUCCUCUGGAGAAACUUGAUGUAUGCGGGCUGUAUCCAUUAGCUUUUGCAAUAAUAUUGUUGCAAAACAAAACACUCCAAACCAGGGGCUACAACCAUAAGUGUCUACCACGUCUUCCAGCUCCCACGUCUGCAGUCAGCUGGCUUUGUGCUGAGCCUGACUCCAGGCUGCAGAUUUGGUUUGGGUCUGUUCCUCAUAUUUCCUUUUCUUUUGGGAUGGACAAACUAUCCAGGACACAGUCUCAUGGUGACAACAGAAUCACAAGAGGACGAACUGAGCCACACAAGCACAUUUCAAGUUUUUGUUUGCAUCAGAUCCACUAACAUCCCACUGGCCGAGGAAGUCAUAUGGUCAAACCCAACAUCCCUGGGGCAGGAAAACAGUCUCUGCCUCUAGUCAGAAGGAAGAAGAUGUAAAUACAUGAGAGGUAAAAAGUUGAGAGCAAUUCUGCAAUCUACCAUACAGACUUUCCUUUGACUCUACUCUUCAUAGCGCUGCCUCACGGUAUCAGGUAUUUCUCAGUCAAGCAUACGCACGCAUCCAUAGGCUUCCUAAGUUGGUAACAACAAGAUAGAAUAUGGCCUAGGAGCUCUGUUCUUUGGAGACAAGCUUUCGCCUUGAACCUGACUCGCUAAAGCACCAAGAACGUUUGUGUUGUUGAAUGAAGAAUAAUGUUUCGGAUGGGAAAGCUGGGGCAGAGAGGUAGGUGACGUUCUGCCGGGAGAGUUGGGCUUCCGCAGUGUGCUGUAGAGUCAGCUGGCACGAGGGAAACAGGAACACCAUGCAAAGCUUGCUUUUCUGUUUAUUAAUAUACUUUUUCUCACCCAGGUUUGAAUUGGCCUUGGACACUUCACACCCAAGCGUUUGCUGAUUUGACCUUCUAACCACAGUAUUAGCAAGAUCCAUUUACUCUGGCUAGUUCUGCACAUUCUUCCAGUUUCAUAAUUCAAUCAAAGAUAAUAGUAAAUGGAAUGAGAGGCUGCUGAUGGGAAAGCCAAAUACAGAGGGGAAACAAAAAUAAGAGGAAUCAGGGGCCGGCCCCAUGGCCAAGUGGUUAAGUUCCCGCGAUCCACUUUGGCAGCCUAGAGUUUCACCGGUUCGCAUCCUGGGGGUGAACAUGGCACCGCUCAUCAGGUGGCAUCCCACAUGCCACAACUAGAAGGACCCACAACUAAAAAUGUAUGACUAUGUACCAGGGGACUUUGGGGAGAAAAAGGAAAAAUAAAAUCUUUAAAAAAAAAAAAAAAAGAGGAAUCAAAGUCUGAAAUUUUAUGUAUGUCUUGAAUGAGUUUGGCAGGGAACCAAAUAGAAAAAAUGCCUUCCCCUCUCUAGCUGGCACAUCUCCACAUCACAAGAGCAUCGUGCCAUCCGCUUCAGGCUGCAGCGUCUUCUCACAAAAGACCCAGGUGAAAAAUGCAAGUUGCAGACAGAGGUGUGCAGGAAAACAAGUUGGGGGCUUGCUUCCAGCACCCGGGACAUCCUGAACCCAGAUGAAGAGGCUCCCAGGAACCCGCCAAUCAAUAACUCAGGGGAAAACAAGUUGUUCAUACCUAGCUCUCCUCAAGCA